rnacentral:rRNA from 1 species
UGUGUCAGCAGCCGCGGUAAUACCCGCGCCCCGAGUGGUGGUCGAUAUUAUUGAGCCUAAAACGUCCGUAGCCGGUCUUCUAAAUCCUUGGGUAAAUCGGGCAGCUUAACUGUCCGAAGUCCGGGGAGACUGGGAGACUUGGGACCGGGAGAGGUCAGAGGUACUUCUGGGGUAGGGGUAAAAUCCUGUAAUCCUGGAAGGACCACCGGUGGCGAAGGCGUCUGACUAGAACGGAUCCGACGGUGAGGGACGAAGCCCUGGGGCGCAAACGGGAUUAGAUACCCCGGUAGUCCAGGGUGUAAACGCUGCGGGCUUGGUGUUGGGGGUCCUUAGUGGGCGCCCAGUGCCGGAGAGAAGUUGUUAAGCCUGCUGCUUGGGGAGUAUGUCCGCAAGGAUGAAACUUAAAGGAAUUGGCGGGGGAGCACCGCAACGGGAGGAGCGUGCGGUUCAAUUGGAUUCAACGCCGAAAAACUCACCAGGAGCGACGGAUAUAUGAAGGUCAAGCUGAUGACUUUACCUGAUUUUCCGAGAGGUGGUGCAUGGCCGUCGUCAGUUCGUACCGUAAGGCGUUCUCUUAAGUGAGAUAACGAACGAGACCCUCACCAUUAAUUGCUAGUCCCUUCUCCGGAGGGGGCGCACAUUAAUGGGACCGCUGGCGCUAAGUCAGAGGAAGGAGAGGUCAACGGUAGGUCCGUAUGCCCCGAAUCCCCUGGGCAACACGCGCGCUACAAAGGGUGGGACAAUGGGCUUCGACACCGAAAGGUGAAGACAAUCCUGAAACCCAUCCAUAGUUCGGAUUGGGGGCUGUAACCCGCCCCCAUGAAGCUGGAUUCCGUAGUAAUCGCUUAUCAACAUCAAGCGGUGAAUAUGCCCCUGCUCCUUGCACACACCGCCCGUCAAACCACCCGAGUUGGGUUUCAGUAAGGAUGUCUCUAAUUGGGGCCUUCGAACUGAGAUUCAGCAAGGAGGGUUA